AUUUAAUAAUAUUAUAGAGUAACUUUAUCAUUUUUAUAGUUUAAAAAUAAAUAUAAGGUAAAACAAUUGCUGGUGUAAACAGCCGCUGGCCACAGGUGAGCAACAACGGCUGUGAGUUGAGGAGAUGUUUCAACAAAACUUGGGGAAAUUGAACUGCUCCAUAACAGAUGAAAAUAAUAACUGGAGCAUGGAACGAAAGCUGUUACCAGCACUACUAGCACCACCACUACCACCUAUGGCAAGAUGAGUAAUGACUAAACCCUUGAGAAAUUAACAACUGGAACAUGGAGAAACUGCUGUUACAGAGCAGUCCAGGACAGCAGCAUGCACAGAGCAGAGCAUUCCUGGGGAGCGGCAAGCACAGAGCAGAGCCGUCCAGGGGAGCGGCACGCGCAGAGCCGUCCAGGGGAGCGGCACGCAUAGAGCAGAGCCGUCCAGGGGAGCGGCACGCACAGAG